rnacentral:rRNA from 1 species
CCUACGGGAGGCAGCAGUGAGGAAUAUUGGUCAAUGGACGAGAGUCUGAACCAGCCAAGUAGCGUGAAGGAUGACUGCCCUAUGGGUUGUAAACUUCUUUUAUAUGGGAAUAAAACAGGGUAUGCAUACCCCCUUGUAUGUACCAUAUGAAUAAGGUUCGGCUAACUCCGUGCCCGCAGCCGCGGUAAUACGGAGGAUCCGAGCGUUAUCCGGAUUUAUUGGGUUUAAAGGGAGCGUAGGUGGAUUGUUAAGUCAGGUGUGAAAGUUUGCGGCUCAACCGUAAAAUUGCAGUUGAAACUGGCAGUCUUGAGUACAGUAGAGGUGGGCGGAAUUCGUGGUGUAGCGGUGAAAUGCUUAGAUAUCACGAAGAACUCCGAUUGCGAAGGCAGCUCACUGGACUGCAACUGACACUGAUGCUCGAAAGUGUGGGUAUCAAACAGGAUUAGAUACCCUAGUAGUC